rnacentral:rRNA from 1 species
UACCUCAGGUCAGAGAAGACUACCCGCUGGACUUAAGCAUAUCAAUAAGCGGAGGAAAUCGGAUCC